GCGGAAGUGGCGAAAUUGGUAGACGCACCAGAUUUAGGUUCUGGCGCC
rnacentral:tRNA from 1 species